AUUCUUUUCUAAUAACAUUUUUUCGAACAUUCCAAAAAUCUUAAUUUUAUAACCACAGAGUGCCCAACAUUUUAAACUCAUCUAUAUAAGUGGAGAAACACAAAAUUGUUAUAGAUAGACCAACUACAUUCGUUCCGAGAUAAGUAUUACGGCAUUCUUAAUUACUAGUCUGAGUCCAUUAGCCUACUUGCCAACUGGCUACUUUCUGGAGUAGAUAUUUCCGCAAUCGACUUGAAGGGCCUAUUACUAGUACUGUAAACAUUUUUUAUUUACAGCUAUUAGUUUUCAAAGUUUGGCAUGUCUGGGAAAACAUUUUUCAGCCGAGAAUCAUCAUGCCUUUUUCCUAUAAUCCCGGAAGACAGAAGAAUACCCGCGACUACCUUUUUGGCUGCGGCAGAAAUGAUUUUACCAUUUUUUGAUAAAUUGGGUACUGGCUUUAGUGUCAUCAAAAAUGACCUCGCCGGAAAUAUCCAGUCUUUAAAGAAGAAACAUGCAAUGAAUCCAGAAUUGUUCACAACCAUUGAUGCUAUGUUAGAAGAUGAAGUUGAUAAACCAAAGGUUGACUUGGCUAAGGUGGCAGCUCUAUGGCUUAAAAGAGGAUUGGAUUUUGUUUGCACCUAUCUUGAGUUAUUCUACAAGAAUAGAGAUGAUGGUUUAGAAUCAACGCAGCCUUAUUUAUCUGAAGCUUAUGCUAGAAUAUUAAAACAAUAUCAUGGUUUUAUUUUAAAAAAACUUUUUGCUGGACUAUCAAGAAUGGUAGAAUAUAAAAAAGUUAUAUUAAAAAACAUGAAGGUAGACCCGACAGCUCCAGAUGAAGUUGUUUAUGCUGAUUUGGAGAUAUACAACAAGUUACUACGAGAAAAUGUUAUAGUUUUAGAUGAAAUGUUGAAGAAAUUAAACUUUGAUUCAGAUAAUAAAGUAUAAAACCCAGGUCAAUAUUUUUAAUACAUGGUAAUCUUUUUUUUUUCUUACAUGGAGGAAUAUUUGAAAUAGUUGGGAUAAUAUUAAUUAUGAUGUAAAGUAGAGUAAGAGCUAUCGAUCUGAAACAAUCCAUUCUUCUUAUCAUCAAGUUUUAUUAAAUUGAUCAAGUUUUCUGUGUCAAUGUGUAGCAUCGUCAGAUCAACAGCCGUAAUGAAUCUGUUAAAGACUUAUUAUUACUUUAUUUAGAUUACAGAUUUAUAAUUAUUUUUAUAGGCUUGCGCACGUAAUCUGGAUUCAUAUUGUCGUUAAUCCAUCUGGCAUCCAUAGUUCGUUCUAUAAACUAUUUAAAGACUCUCUACAGGUCACAAUUCUUGUCCGAUUUUGACGAAACUUGAAAUAUAGGUUUAUCCCCAAAAGAUCUUGGCUGCUUUCGAUAUUGGCAUGUAUCGGAUCGAAACUUCAUGGAUUAUGGCCCCUGUUUUUACGAAAAAUCACGUUUUUAGCUUGUGGACCCUAUAGAGGUCACAAUUUUUAUCCGAUUUUGUUGAAACUUAAAAUUUAAGUUUAUAACCCAAAGAUCUCAGUUCCUUUCGAUAUUCGCGCAUAUCGGAAGUAACUUCCUGAAUUAUGGCCCCUAAUUGUAUGAAAAAUCGCGUUUUUAGCUUGUGGACCCUAUAGAGGUCAUAAUUUUUAUUCGAUUUAAAAAAACGUAUUAUUAUAUCACCGUUGCACCCUAUGGAAGGUUGAGUUCAAAUUUCGUGGAAAUUGGACCAAAAUUGCCAGACAAAAUGGCCACCGUUUGUACGCGAAUAGUGUAAAAAUAUGGUAAAUCAAGGUUGUGGACCCUGUAUAGGUCACAAUUUUAAUUCGAUUUUGAUGAAACUUGAAAUGCAUGUUUAUAACCUAAAGAUCAUGGUUCCUUUCGAUAUUUGUGAAUAUCGGAUAGUAACUUCCAGAAUUAUGGCCCCUGAUUGUACGCAAAAUCGCCUUUUAUGGUAAAUAAUGGUUGUGGAUCCUGUAUAGGUCACAAUUUUAAUUCGAUUUUGAUGAAACUUGAAAAGCAUGUUUAUAACCUAAAGAUCAUGGUUCCUUUCGAUAUUUGCGCAUAUCGGAUAGUAACUUCCUGAAUUAUGGCCCCUGAUUGUACACAAAAUUACCUUUUUUAGCUUGUAUUCCCUCUGGGGGUCACAAUUAUUAUCCGAUUAUAUCACCGUUACACCAUAAUGAAGGUUGAGUUCGAAUUUCCUGAAAAUCGGACCAAAAUUGCCGGACAAAAUGGCUGCCACUUGUACACGAUAGUGUAAAAAUAUGGUAUAUCAAGGUUGUGGACCCUGUAGAGGUCGCAAUUUUAAAAUGCAUGUUUAUAACCUAAAGAUCUUGGUUCCUUUCGAUAUUGUCGCAUAUCGGAUUGUAACUUCCUGAAUUAUGGCCCCUGAUUAUACGAAAAAUCGCCUUUUUUAGCUUGUGGUCCCUCCGAAGAUCACAGUUAUUAUCUGAUUUUAAAAAUCGUUUGAAUAUAUCACCGUAACACCAUAAUAAAGGUUGAGUUCAAAUUUCCUGAAAAUCACACCAAAACUGACGGACAAAAUGGCCACCACUUGUACGCGAAAGGUGUAAAAAUAUGGUAUAUCUAGGUUGUGGACCCUGUAGAGGUCACAAUUUUAAUCCGAUUUUGAUGAAACUCGAAAUGCAUGUUUAUAAUCCAAAGAUCUUGGUUCCUUUCGAUAUUUGCGCAUAUCAAAUUGUAACUUCAUGAAUUAUGGCCCUUGAUUGUAGGAAAAAUCACUUUCUUUUUAGCUUGUUCUCUAUCCAUCUCUCGAAAAUGUGGGCGUAUCCUGCCUGGCAGCCGCUGGUUAAAUGUUAUUAAUAGCCCUAAUGAAAUCCAGACUUUUUCGAUUAUUCAUGAGAUAUUUGCUUGUUGUUAUGUUGACUUUCACAGCCAGACCGGGCGACUUUGCUCCUGCUGGAUGUAUCUCUUUGAAUUUAUUGAUAUACUGAGACACAACCAAAAACACUUUUAUUAGAUAAAUUUUAAACCCCAUGUCUGCACCAUAAAAUAACAAGAUUUAUCCUCAAUUCGCCUUUUUUUAAUUAAAUCAUUAAAUGGGAUAGUCAAUGAAUCCGUUUAAAUCUCCGCCAUCCAAUAAUCUAGAGAGUUGAUUAUAGACUUGUAAUGUAAAUAAAUGUCUAAAUAAUACAUGUAGUUUAUAUAACAUUUAAAGCCAAAAUAAAGACCUGCCCCAGACAGCCACUCAGCUCUGACCCUACUUUGGCCCACAUGUGACUGGAUGUGGCCCAGAUCCAGCCAGAUGUUGCCACAUUUGGGCCAUAGUCUGGGCAACACUUGACAACUAUUUGCUCACUGUUGAUGAAAAAAACUUAUUUUUAUAACUGGAUUUAAGAAUAUUUUGUCAGUUUGUUAAAUGGUUUUAAUUGUUUUAUUUGAUUUUCAAAAUGUUUGAAAAAAUAAUAUUAUGCCAGAUGCUUGCCAUGUUUGGGCCAGACAUGGCCCACAUCCAUCUGGCCAAAUGCCUCAAAAUAUCAAUCCAAUAAAUUUCAGCUCAGAAUAUGACGUCUUUUUACUAACAACACACUGUGUGUCCAGAAAAAUGUUAUGAACACACAAUUCGAAGUAAAUUUCAUGAUCAAAACAUUUGAAAAAAUAAUAUUGUGUCAGAAGCUUGCUAUGUUUGGACCAGAUAUGACCCACAUCCAACUAGCCAAAUGCCUCAAACUAUCAACCUCAUCACUCUUACAUAAUGCAUUUUUAAUAUUGUUAGAAGUUUUACCUGUGGUAAGGUAAAAUCAAAUCCAUAUAUGGAGAUUUUUCUUUUGAUGAUUAUUGUUUUUGUAAAUUUAUUGAAAUCUUAUGCAUCAUAAAAUUAACAUCUUUUAUGAUCAAGCUCUUAAUCAUCUUUUAUCUUUUUUUAAUGCCAUUGCCACUUGUUUUGUUUUAUCACUCUAUGUGCUUUAUGAUCUGAGAGUGCCAGCAAAAUGCCUUAACAUACAAUACAACUGAAAUCUACACCUAAUAUGCAAUGUCAUGUGACCUUCAUGGUAAUGACUUUUUCCUCCAGUUUGUAACACAUGUGAUCAAUUGUCUGUAUUUCAACUGUAAAUAUUUGUGUGUGGAGAUUUGAUUAUAAUUAAAGAACAAAAUAAAGUGUCACACAACAUUUAACAGGAUCUUAUGGAAAAUAUCCUUCUGCAAAAUAAAAGCUGUGGUGUUCUUUUUUUUUAUGCAUAUAUUUUUUAUGACAGCAUUUUUACAGUUUGUUUCCAUGAAUGGUUUUACUCAAACUUUGUCCAACUCUUAAUUGAAAUUAAUGCAUCUAAACUAUUCCCUAUUUUAAUAUUGUGACUAUGUGACUUCCUGUAAGCUUUAAAAAGAAGUAAAGCACCAGUAAAUCAGAGCAUGACUGUUAUGUUAUGAACAAUAUAGAUUAUGCUAUCAUCAUAUUAAUCAUUGAGGAUUAUUAAUUUAUUGUUUUGGGGCAUGUGAUUAAAUUCAUGUUUUACAGUACCGAUAUUUUUUACACAUAGGAUUUCUUACUGAUCUUAUUUAAAAAUCCACGUAUUUUAUCAUUCUGACAUCUUAUAACUUGGUUCUUCUCAUUCUAUUAUUGUUGUUAUUUUCCACUUCUAAAUUGUUGUUUUCCUUCAGACAUUCUUUCUUACUUCUUACAUUCUUUGUUUUAACAUUUGCAUUUUAAAAUCAGAAUUUAAUGAAAUGUAAUUAUUCUUUAUGCAUUGAUAUAAUUGGGGCCGAUUUAUUAAGAUUUAAUUUUUUGGGGGUAGUUUUUUUAUUUACUUUUUUAGUCUGUACUGGUAAUUUUGUUUUACAUAGUAUGAUUUGAAUAAAGGUAUUGAUUUUAUUUGGUUAUUAUUAUAGCAUUAUAUUGACUGUAACCUAGUUCUAUUAUUAUGGGAUAAUUAUUGUGUGUAUUUCAUUGCAAUUAAAAAGUAUCAGACUUUGUAUACAUCAUCUGGUGUAUGAAUAAUAUAAUUGUUAAUUGUGUUUGGAGAUACAAUUCUCAUUUAAAAUGCAUAUCAGAAUUUGUAAAUUGUUGAUUCAAGGUUGUUACUUAAAAAGAAUUUUUUAAAAAUAUUUUGCCAAUAAUCUGAAAAAGAUACAAUACAAUCAUACAUAAAUACCCCAAGUAAAUUUUUGUUUUAUGUUGCAAAAAUGAAAAAAAUAAAAUAGGAAGAAUUGUAAUUAUAAUAGUCUUUGGAUUUAUAUUACGUGCUAGACUGGAUAUAUUUCUUGAACAAAGGUUUUUUACCCAAAAGAUCUAUCUACAGGUUUUAAUAUUUUAUUAUCAUAUUGGCUUUAAUUUACAACAAAUAUUUCCAUUAACUUAAAUCCAGGCUACUUUAUUGGAAACUCAACCCAAUUCAGAGCAAACUAUUUUAAUUUUAAUUCACCUGUUGAAUUGGAUUUGACUGAUAGGUUUAGUUAGAUAUGAUAUACCUAGUAAUAGACUAAUCUACUCUAACCUUAUAAACAUAGUGCACUAAUGUACAACAUCUGGCUAGUUACAGUAAAUAGGAAGCAAAUUUAAUGUUUGAUAAUUGUUCAAGCCUUUUAAUUACUGGUUUCUGGUGUAUAUAGAAUAUGUCUCUAUUUUUCUAAUUUGACCACGUUAUGUUUUUAUAAAUCUAUAUAUAUUUAAUAUAAUAUAUGGUUUCUGUUAAUUUAUACACAAGCAGGUUUUGGAAUAUAUAGAUUAUAUAUAUAUUUAAAAUAAUAAUGUUAACUAUUUUAUUAUACACAACAUUACUUUGUGCAGCAUUGUGUUCUUUUGUGUUUAUUAACUUUUAUGCCAAACUCAACUUAUAAAUAUUGAUGCACAUUAUCUAUUUUAAAAUCAAUGUAGAAUUUUUGGACCAGGAACUGAUCCCUCAACACUACUCAUCGUAUUCUUAGGGGUGAUCUUUAAGGCUCCGCCAAGUCAAGUUCGAUGGACAUGAAACCUGGCAUGCUUGUUCCUUGGACAAUUGUGCAUUGUUUGACAGACUAUGAUUUUUGACUGGACAUUACAACCUUAUUAACUAAAACAUUUUAAGAAAGCAGAUUUUUCAUUGGCUAAGAGCUGAAAUUUGUACUAGAAUUUUUACCCUUAGCCAAUAAUAACCCUGCAUUCUUAAAAAAUUUAAGUUUAACUCUAUUAUUGAAAACAAAUUUACCAAGCAAAACAAUUGGAGGUUUGAUAUUUUUGUGCAUUGUGUAGCAUUGUGUAGCAAAAGUAAUUGAUCAAGAUUAGUAAAUUAUAUAAAGAAUUGAAUUACUGCCUAUAUAUUUAUAUUAUUGUUAACAGUGUUGUGUAUUUUAAAUGUGUUUUUAAAUCUGUGAUAAAUGAAAUAAAACCUAUUUUAUACUGCUGAUAAACAA